rnacentral:rRNA from 1 species
GACGAACGCUGGCGGCGUGCUUAACACAUGCAAGUCGAACGGUAAGGCCCUUCGGGGUACACGAGUGGCGAACGGGUGAGUAACACGUGGGUGAUCUGCCCUGCACUUCGGGAUAAGCCUGGGAAACUGGGUCUAAUACCGGAUAGGACCACUGCCUGCAUGGGUGGUGGUGGAAAGCCUUUGCGGUGUGGGAUGGGCCCGCGGCCUAUCAGCGUGUUGGUGGGGUGAUGGCCUACCAAGGCGACGACGGGUAGCCGGCCUGAGAGGGUGACCGGCCACACUGGGACUGAGAUACGGCCCAGACUCCUACGGGAGGCAGCAGUGGGGAAUAUUGCGCAAUGGGCGCAAGCCUGAUGCAGCGACGCCGCGUGAGGGAUGACGGCCUUCGGGUUGUAAACCUCUUUCAGCACCGACGAAGCGCAAGUGACGGUAUGUGCAGAAGAAGGACCGGCCAACUACGUGCCAGCAGCCGCGGUAA